UUUCUCACCUCGUGUUCUGUAUAUUCUAGUACUUACUGUUAAUGCCAAUAACUUUACUUUCAAUUUCGAGGCUAACAGUUCUGGUCCUCGUUUUAACUUGGCGUGGAGAUUUUACUCUCCCAACGGUAGUCUGCUUCUAAGAGCAUGCGAAUUACGUUUGAAAAUAGUAUGUAGCAGAAAACGAAAGAAAGUGUCAAAGAAAACCACGUUGCCUUGGGAAAGGAAAGAAAGUGGUCACUGGAAAGGUCUCAAAUAUGGCAACGAAGCUUAUCGACUACUACGAGCAAGGUUUAAACGGUUGGGGAACAAGGAAACCUUCCCUACUUUAAGAAAAAAU
rnacentral:lncRNA from 1 species